AGUGGAUGGGGAGCAACCUAGUUGUGCGUGUGUAAAGGUAGUGCCAAGAAAAGCGGUGAUCAUGAUGAAAAUCAAUUCCCGGUACCCGAAACCGACACAGGUGGGCAAGUAGAGAAUACUAAGGGGCGCGAGGUAACUCUCUCCAAGGAACUCGGCAAAAUGACCCCGUAACUUAGGGAGAAGGGGUGCCACCGAGAGGUGGUCGCAGUGAAGAGGCCCAGGCGACUGUUUAGCAAAAACAUAGGCCUCUGCAAACUCGAAAGAGGAGGUAUAGGGGCUGACGCCUGCCCAGUGCCGGAAGGUUAAAGAAGUUGGUCAGUCUUAGGAUGAAGCUAGCGACUGAAGCCCCGGUGAACGGCGGCCGUAACUAUAACGGUCCUAAGGUAGCGAAAUUCCUUGUCGGGUAAGUUCCGACCCGCACGAAAGGCGUAACGAUCUGGGCGCUGUCUCGGAGAGAGGCUCGGCGAAAUAGGAUUGUCUGUGAAGAUACGGACUACCUGCAUUUGGACAGAAAGACCCUAUGAAGCUUUACUAUAGCUUGGAAUUGUGUUCGGGCUUCCUGUGCGCAGGAUAGGUGGGAGGCGUAGAAGGUAUUCUUGUGGGGAUACUGGAGCCAACGGUGAGAUACCACUCUCAGGAGGCUAGAAUUCUAACUUAAUUAAGGACAGUUUCAGGUGGGUAGUUUGACUGGGGCGGUCGCCUCCAAAAAGGUAACGGAGGCGUACAAAGGUUCCCUCAGACUGGUUGGAAAUCAGUCGAAGAGUGCAAAGGCAGAAGGGAGCUUGACUGCGAGAAGUACAGUUCGAGCAGGGUGGAAACACGGUCUUAGUGAUCCGACGGUGCUGUGUGGAAGGGCCGUCGCUCAACGGAUAAAAGUUACUCUAAGGAUAACAGGUUUGGCACCUCGAUGUCGGCUCAUCGCAACCUGGGGCGGAAGUACGUCCCAAGGGUUGGGCUGUUCGCCCAUUAAAGCGGUACGUGAGCUGGGUUCAGAACGUCGUGAGACAGUUCGGUCCAUAUCCGAUGUAGGCGUGAGAAUAUUGAGAGGAGCCUUCCUUAGUACGAGAGGACCGGGAAGGACGCACCGCUGGUGUACCUGUUAUGAUGCCAAUUGUAAACGCAGGGUAGCCAAGUGCGGAGAGGAUAACCGCUGAAAGCAUCUAAGUGGGAAGCCCACCUCAAGAUGAGUAUUCUGGUGUAAGGUCACGGGAAGACGACCCGUAAAUAGGCACGAGGUGGAAGUGCAGAGAUGUAUGAAGCCGAAGUGUACUAAUAGACCGUCGGCUUGACC
rnacentral:rRNA from 1 species